rnacentral:lncRNA from 10 species
GUUGUUUUCACGAACCCACAGAGACAGAAACCUGCGGCAAUGGAGAAAAUGCUAAUACAGACAUCUUACUUCAGUGUCUGGCAAACAAGAUUAUACACUGAGGACGAUGUAGACGUCAGCUUCCCUGACGAGGGAAGCUGCAGCUUUCUGAUGAUUCCUGAAGCCUACAUUCUAUUAAUUUCCCCGAAGAGCCCUAUUGCCUAAUGGAACAUUGUGAGAAUGGCCAGUCUGGAAAGCAGGAUCAGUGGAGCUGGCUUCUGGCUCACUGGCUUUCAGCUGAGCCUUCCAAAUGGCUGGGAAUGAACAUCCAGUUAGAAGCCUCGGUUUGGAACAGUGGUUCUCAGACUUCAUGGUGUGUGACAGUCACUGGGGAACUUGUCCAAACACAGAUUGACAGACCCCAUCCCAAAGUUUCUGAUUCAGCGGCUCUAGGGAGGGCCCUAAGAACACGAGCUCCUCUUCCCAAGCUCCCAGGUGACGCUGAGGUUGCUGCCCCGGGAGCCCACUUUGAGAACUGCUGAUCUAGGGUGUGCUGGGGUAACUCUGGCUGUCAGAGGGGUCAGGACACUUGGUCUCCUUCUCUUUGGUCUCACUGAGAAUGUGAAUGUGAAUGGCCUUUUGAGGCCACUUGCACUGAGUCCUCUACAGGGCACACUGGACGGCGGGGGAGCGUCUGGAAGGGGUCUGCACACCGGCUUGCAGCCUCAGUGAUGCUCAUCUAGUGCGGGUCCUGCGUGGUCCCCAGAGGAACCCAGUGAGAAAUCCGGAGGAGACGGACAGAGAGGAGGAUGACUUCCUUUUGUAUUACAACGUCAUGAUUACAAAUAAUCAUAAUAGAGUGCCCAUUUUAAAGUGGCCUUUCCCUCCAAGCACACAGGAGACUCCCUCAGAUUCCCUAGGAAACCAAAGAAAUACUGAAUCUACUCCACAAAAGGGAAGGAUACUCUCAUAGCGAGCAGUGUGCCCAUGGAGAUGACUUCCAGGAGGGUGUGUGGGCUGCAAAUCCUGGCAUCCGUCUCACUUGGGCCUGUUGGGGGCCAGAGACCAC